ACAACUCAUCAACCCUGUGAACAUACCUAAAACGUUGCUUCGGCGGGAACAGACGGCCCCGUAACACGGGCCGCCCCCGCCAGAGGACCCCCUAACUCUGUUUCUAUUAUGUUUCUUCUGAGUAAAACAAGCAAAUAAAUUAAAACUUUCAACAACGGAUCUCUUGGCUCUGGCAUCGAUGAAGAACGCAGCGAAAUGCGAUAAGUAAUGUGAAUUGCAGAAUUCAGUGAAUCAUCGAAUCUUUGAACGCACAUUGCGCCCGCCAGUAUUCUGGCGGGCAUGCCUGUUCGAGCGUCAUUACAACCCUCAGGCCCCCGGGCCUGGCGUUGGGGAUCGGCGAGGCGCCCCCUGCGGGCACACGCCGUCCCCCAAAUACAGUGGCGGUCCCGCCGCAGCUUCCAUUGCGUAGUAGCUAACACCUCGCAACUGGAGAGCGGCGC
rnacentral:rRNA from 1 species